CCUAAAAAACUAGGUCUCAGUUCAGAUUGCAGGCUGCAACCCGACCUGCAUGAAGUCGGAAUUGCUAGUAAUCGCGGAUCAGCAUGCCGCGGUGAAUACGUUCCCGGGCCUUGUACACACCGCCCGUCACACCAUGGGAGCCGGUAAUACCCGAAGUCAGUAGUCCAACCUCGUGAGGACGCUGCCGAAGGUAGGAUUGGCGACUGGGGUGAAGUCGUAACAAGGUAUC
rnacentral:rRNA from 1 species